CUGCUGAAGCUCGUCGCUGGUCGACCGAUAAACUCAGGCUAAUCCUCGCGGGGGCUGUUCAGUUGCUCUCCGGCCAUUCAGUGGAGCGAAAGUGUGUGUUGGAUAAUCGGACACAGAUUUGUUCUCUGGACAACAAGACAGAGUGAAUAUCCGUUGCAUUGGGAGACAAUCAUUUCCGCAUUAGUACACGUGAAUCUGCGCCAUGCGCUAGAAUUUUUCCCGCCUUGGCAGAGAGAAUCUGCCGCGAAACUUCUCCAGAGUGAAAAUGUGCAAAAACUCUGCUAUUGUGACACUAAAUUGCGUUAGAAGCGAAAAUAUGUGUGGAAAAAGUCGAUAUAGUUUGCAGUAAUAAAAUUAAUUUGAUAAUAAGAAGUUUAAGUGAUAAUUCAACGAGACCAAAAAGCGAAAUUGGAAACUUUUUAAAUACAUUAUCACAUCAUUUCGUAGAGACACUUUAUAAGAGCCCAAUAAAUUGCUUUGUGUGUUGAAAACAGAAGAAACACAUUUUUGCAGUUUCACCAGUGACAAUUAAGAGACGAUCAAUUGUGCAAAUAUUUUAUCUUCUCGCGUGAACAAUAAUAAUAUUUUGCUCAACUCUUGCAACAUCACGGCAUUGAUAAAAGUGAUAAGAACCACAAAGACGAGCGAGAAGAAAACUGAAGUGAAGUGAUAAGAGCCAAGUCACACAACGACUUUCAGCUGAAGUGAUUAGAAGACAAUUAGCGUCGUGAAGUGCAAUUUGAUAGCGAUGAGUCGCUUAGUGGAGAAUCUCCUGAUACUGGGAGGAGUGCUUAUUGUGAUAAAUAGUCAUGCUCAAGGAUUUCUAGUCACUAGACAAGUCGAGGGGGAGGACAUCUGUGAUAGUGAAAUUUAUUGCCAUGGACCCCUUCUGGACACCAUCCAGAUGGCGCAUCUCUACAAUGACUCCAAGACUUUCGUGGACAUGAAGCUGAAACAGAGGCCAGAAGUCACGCUGCAGCUCUUCCAAGAGUUCAUGGCGACGCACAAUCAACAGCCGACAAGGGAGCAGAUUCUCGGCUUCGUGGAGGCCAAUUUCGACAAGGAGGGAUCGGAAUUUGAGCCCUGGACCCCUCUCGAUUGGCACCAAAACCCAAAGUUCCUCGAGAAUGUGCAGGACCCGAAGCUGAGGGAGUUCGGUCGGGAUCUCAAUGAUUUGUGGCUGAAAUUGGGCAGAAAGAUGACCAAACAAGUGGAAGAACAGCCCGAACUGUUCUCCAUCAUCCACGUGAAUAACCCAGUAAUUGUUCCCGGUGGACGAUUCAGGGAAUUCUACUACUGGGACUCGUACUGGAUCAUCAAGGGACUUCUCUACUCUGAGAUGUUCUCGACCGCCAAAGGGAUGCUACAGAACUUCCUGGAUAUCAUCGCGACGUUUGGCUUCAUUCCCAACGGCGGACGUGUGUACUACCAGAGAUCACAGCCACCGCUCCUCGCUGGCAUGGUCAAGGCCUAUGUGGAGUUCACGGGCGAUGAGGAGUUUGCCAUCCAGGCAGUUCCGCUGUUGGAGCAUGAAUUCAACUUCUGGCUCAACAAUCACACAGUUCAGUGCCUGGGACACGACAUGUUCAUCUACGGUGACAAGUCCCGAGGACCGCGGCCCGAGUCCUAUCGCGAGGACGUGGAGACGUCGCAGGACUUCCCCACGGAUGCGGCCAAGGAGGAACACUACUCAGAACUGAAGGCCGCCGCCGAGAGUGGCAUGGAUUUCUCAAGUCGCUGGUUCAUCGACGAGGCGGGCACGAACAAGGGCGAUCUGAGGAAUCUCAAGACGCGCUCCAUUGUGCCGGUGGAACUGAACGCCAUCCUGUUCUGGAACGCCAAGAUCAUCGCUGAGUUCUACAUGUUGGCGCACAAUGUGCAGAAGGCGUUCGAGUUUGAGAAUCGCGCCACACAGAUUGCCGAAGGUGUUCAGGCGUGCUUUUGGCACGAGGACAUUGGCGCCUGGCUGGACUACGACUUGAUCAAUUCACGCCGCCGCAACUACUUCACGCCCACAAAUCUCUCGCCGCUGUGGAUGCGCUGCUUCAACGAGGCGCUCGAGGCCAACAUCACCGAGAAGGUGUUGCAGUACAUCGACAAGGAGAGACUCGACGAGUAUCCUGGUGGCGUGCCCAACACCAUGGAGCGCACUGGUGAGCAGUGGGACUUCCCCAAUGUGUGGGCGCCCAUGCAGUACAUCCUGAUCGCCGGCCUGGACAACCUCAAGGAUCAGAGGGCGAAGGAUUUGGCGCGCAGCUGGGCCACAAGGUGGGUUCACUCCAACUACAUCGCCUUCAAUGACACCCACGCCAUGUUUGAGAAGUACGACGCCGAGGAAUUGGGUGGUCAUGGCUCUGGUGGUGAAUAUGAUGUGCAAAUCGGCUUUGGCUGGUCCAACGGAGUGAUAAUUGAGCUCCUCGACAAAUACGGAAGUGUUCUCUCAGCGCCAGGUUCGAAGAAAAGGGAUCGUAGUGAAAUGGAAAAUUUCUUGUAACAUCCAUCAUGUCUCUCAUUCGUUGGCACACACAAACCCACAGGUUCUUCGUCUUAUGGAUUGAAGCCAUUAAGUGCCUUUUUCAUUGCCACUGUGGCUCUCUUUGGUACAAUUUUGUCGAGGAUUUUCGGGUGAGAUGAAACUCCACCGUGAUUUCAUGACUGAGUGUUUACUGCAUAAGUGCAUGCAUUUAUGUGCCAGUUCUCUUCAGAGGGACACACUAAAAUCCUCCACAUUUCUUCACAAAAUGUACACAAUGAAGGAAAAAUGGUGAUAACAGGGAAUAUUAUUGUAACAAUCAGUCGAUAUAGUGACACGUAAAGCAAGAUUACAUUGAAUAAUCAUAUCACAAUUUAUAAAGAAUUUAAAAAUAGGCAUUUUAAGUUUGAUUGUUUGUCUUCUCGCAAAAGCAUAACUUCCCAAAAAUGUAUGUGUAAAUAUGUAAGUUUAAUGCAGUGUUUCCCUCUUUGUUUUGUCUAUUAUUAUUUUCAGCUUUAAAAGAGAAAUUUGUACACCUUGUCAUAUUUUUUUCUGCUAUAAUACUUGUGAAAUAGAAUAUUUUCUUAGGUGUUAAAUAUUUUUACACUCAAUUAUACAAGAGGACGAGAUAGGAAAACCCACACGCGUUUUGUGACAAUCAAGAGAGGCAUGUUGAAAGUGUAGUUGUUAAUAAAAUUGUUAUGAGCAUAAGAAUGCGAGAUUAGAAUUUAGAUUAAUUUUAUCCCUCCCAGUAUUAGAUGCUAAAGUGUAAAUAAAAA